rnacentral:rRNA from 1 species
GAUUGGAGUCUGCAACUCGACUCCAUGAAGUCGGAAUCGCUAGUAAUCGUAGAUCAGAAUGCUACGGUGAAUACGUUCCCGGGCCUUGUACACACCGCCCGUCACACCAUGGGAGUGGGUUGCAAAAGAAGUAGGUAGCUUAACCUUCGGGAGGGCGCUUACCACUUUGUGAUUCAUGACUGGGGUGAAGUCGUAACAAGGUAACCGUAGGGGAACCUGCGGUUGGAUCACCUCCUUA